CCUACGGGGGACAGCAGUAGGGAAUCUUCCACAAUGGGCGAAAGCCUGAUGGAGCAACGCCGCGUGAAGGAAGAAGGCUUUCGGGUUGUAAACUUCUUUUGUCAGGGACGAAGCAAGUGACGGUACCUGACGAAUAAGCCACGGCUAACUACGUGCCAGCAGCCGCGGUAAUACGUAGGUGGCAAGCGUUAUCCGGAUUUACUGGGUGUAAAGGGCGUGUAGGCGGGACUGCAAGUCAGAUGUGAAAACCACGGGCUCAACCUGUGGCCUGCAUUUGAAACUGUAGUUCUUGAGUACUGGAGAGGCAGACGGAAUUCCUAGUGUAGCGGUGAAAUGCGUAGAUAUUAGGAGGAACACCAGUGGCGAAGGCGGUCUGCUGGACAGCAACUGACGCUGAGGCGCGAAAGCGUGGGGAGCAAACAGGAUUAGAUACCCCUGUAGUC
rnacentral:rRNA from 1 species